GCAAGGCAUGGAGCAAGCCCGUCAGGGGGCGAUGUUGGGUGAGAUGAAAAACAUGAUGCGACAGUUGAUGUUGCAUUUCCCACAACCAUCUCCUUAAUAGGGUACUGUGAGUGUCCUCCUUCGCUCUUGUUCGCAAACAUUGUGGACAAUGUUAAGUUCAAGUGUGGGGGAGAUUUUAUGUUUUUUAUUGGUAUUUUAUUUUCAGUAUUUUGUUAUUUUAUCUCAGUAUUUUUGUUAUUUUGUUAUUUUACUUUUGUGCAUUCUAGAUUUG
rnacentral:lncRNA from 1 species